rnacentral:piRNA from 1 species
UGAAACGAACAACUACUAAUA